rnacentral:rRNA from 1 species
UUGGAGGGCAAGUCUGGUGCCAGCAGCCGCGGUAAUUCCAGCUCCAAUAGCGUAUAUUAAAGUUGUUGCAGUUAAAAAGCUCGUAGUUGAACUUCGGGAUCAAUAUGCCGGUCAUGCCUUGGUAUGCACUGGUAUCUUUGAUUUCUCCCUUCUGACGAACUUUGAUGUCAUUAAUUUGGUGUCAUAGGGAAUCAGGACUGUUACUUUGAAAAAAUAGAGUGUUUAAAGCAGGCUCACGCUUGAAUACAUUAGCAUGGAAUAAUGAAAUAGGACGUUUGAUUCUAUUUUGUUGGUUUCUAGGAUCGACGUAAUGAUUAAUAGGGAUAGUUGGGGGCAUUAGUAUUCAAUUGUCAGAGGUGAAAUUCUUGGAUUUAUUGAAGACUAACUACUGCGAAAGCAUUUGCCAAGGAUGUUUUCAUUAAUCAAGAACGAAAGUUAGGGGAUCGAAGACGAUCAGAUACCGUCGUAGUCUUAACCAUAAACUAUGCCGACUAGGGAUCGGAUGAUGUUAAUUUUUUAAUGACUCAUUCGGCACCUUACGGGAAAC